ACCUUAGGAGACAGACGUCACCACGUGGAGCGGCUGAGCCGGGCGAGGGACAAAGUGUCACCGGGAUCAUCCACAGGGAGCUCCACGUCACCACAGAUCCCCUGCACGGAGCUCUGCAGGUUGUCGCCUCCGCCUGUUCCAGAUGAUGAAUUGGUCCUGUUCGAGGCCGAUCCGCUCGUUUGAGCGCGGCGCCGCUUUUCCAGGACUCCGCGCGAAAUGAGGGAGCCCCGGCCAUUUUUCAUCCCCGGAGAGAUGAGCGACACGGGGAAUAAAUUUUCCUGCUUAAAAAUU